rnacentral:tRNA from 1 species
CUUUAAAGGAUCAAAGU